GGAUCAUUAUUGAAUAAAUAUGAGUUGGGUUGUUGCUGGCUCUUAGGAGUAUGUGCACACCGACUUCAUUUUUAACCCUCCCCUGUGCACUCUUGCAUAGAUCUGAAUGUCUUGAGGUAAACUCAGUUUGGGAAUUGUUGUGCAGAAUAAGCCAACUCUUCUUAGCUUCAGAUUUAUGUUUAUAACACACUACAAAUGAAUGUAUUCGAAUGUGACUAUUGGCCUCGUUGCCUUUAAAAAAAAUUAUACAACUUUCAACAACGGAUCUCUUGGCUCUCGCAUCGAUGAAGAACGCAGCGAAAUGCGAUAAGUAAUGUGAAUUGCAGAAUUCAGUGAAUCAUCGAAUCUUUGAACGCACCUUGCGCUCCUUGGUAUUCCGAGGAGCAUGCCUGUUUGAGUGUCAUGAAAUUCUCAACCUCUCUUAGUUUUAUGGCUAAGUUAGGCUUGGAUCAUGGAAGCUGCUGGCUAGUCAAGUUAGCUCUUCUAAAAUACAUUUGCAAAGAUAUUUGCUGACUAUGUUUGAUAUGAUAAUUAUCUAUAUCAUUCAUGAUCAGUGUCCCUUUGCCUCUAAUAGUCUGUUAGACAACUUGACAACUUUGACCUCAAAUCAGGUAGGACUACCCGCUGAACUUAAGCAUAUCAAUAAGCGGAGGAAAAGAAACUAACAAGGAUUCCCCUAGUAACUGCGAGUGAAGCGGGAACAGCUC
rnacentral:rRNA from 1 species